rnacentral:rRNA from 1 species
AUGUUGAAGCUCAAAAUUCUAGGCCUCGCUGCAAUUGAUCGAGCACAGAAGCGCCAGGCAUCUAGGAUUACUUGGUUGCGUGUUGGGGACGUGCCAAGCGCCUUCUUCCAAGCGAAUAUCAGUGCUAGGAGAUGGAAAGCAUUCAUCCACACGCUCCACGGCCCGUCCGGUGUAGUCACCAGGCAGGAGGACAAGAAAACCUUGAUCUACGACCACUUCUCCUCCAUACUGGGCACAGCAGCGCACCGCGACGCAACCAUUGGCUGGCGUUCACUCGACAUGCCUAGGCUGCAGGGUGGUGGACUGGACAACCCAUUCACGGAGGAUGAGGUG